rnacentral:rRNA from 1 species
AUCCUGGCUCAGAUUGAACGCUGGCGGCAGGCCUAACACAUGCAAGUCGAAUGGUAACAGGAAACAGCUUGCUGUUUCGCUGACGAGUGGCGGACGGGUGAGUAAUGUCUGGGAAACUGCCUGAUGGAGGGGGAUAACUACUGGAAACGGUAGCUAAUACCGCAUAACGUCGCAAGACCAAAGAGGGGGACCUUCGGGCCUCUUGCCAUCAGAUGUGCCCAGAUGGGAUUAGCUAGUAGGUGGGGUAACGGCUCACCUAGGCGACGAUCCCUAGCUGGUCUGAGAGGAUGACCAGCCACACUGGAACUGAGACACGGUCCAAACUCCUACGGGAGGCAGCAGUGGGGAAUAUUGCACAAUGGGCGCAAGCCUGAUGCAGCCAUGCCGCGUGUAUGAAGAAGGCCUUCGGGUUGUAAAGUACUUUCAGCGGGGAGGAAGGGAGUAAAGUUAAUACCUUUGCUCAUUGACGUUACCCGCAGAAGAAGCACCGGCUAACUCCGUG